UAUCAGACAGUGCCACAAGACCUCACCAUGGAAGUCAUAAAAGAUGUUGCAAUUUCCAUUAGCAUAGGGAGCAUAGUGUCUGAAAGAUGUUUAUAUUUGAAAACUUUGACAUACAAAGUUUUUUAUUAUCUAUGUCGUAUAGACUAUUGAAAAUCAGCACGAUCUCGUGAUUGAUCUCCUUGACUCCUUUAUGAUGAUUAAGAAAACAGACCAUGGCCCUCUUCACUAUCUGCAGCCUAAUUUGGAAAAACCAGAAAUGGUGGUUUAUGAAUCCAAUAACAAACACAAUCAGUAUUAAUUCCAAGAGUUUCUAAGUAGUUCCAAGACCAACCGGAACGGAAACGUAAGUUAUAUGCAAUCUUCUUCGUUUCAUGGCUUCUGUUCUAUUACAUGAGUCUAAAAACUCUUAUCCAGGUUUUUAAUUUAUGGAUUCAUGAAUUGUCCAUUUUAAAUUUGUUCCAAAACCCUUUUGUUGUUGUGGAAUAAAGAGCCGUCAUAUUUUAUGCAUGUAUUUAGUUUAUUCGAAGAAUUAAUCCUUGCUUAUACAUGAGCUUCUCCGGAACAAAGCAGAAGUGAGAAUCUCGGAUUUUCGGAGGGUGAGUCAAUGCCUAAGGAUCAGACUGAAAGGCAUAAUCGAUGGACAACAAUGAUCCUUCUUUUGUAAGUGAACUAGAAAGUUCUUUCUACAGUUUUCAAGUUUAUGUCUCUUGAGCAACAUUACAUUUGGGAAUAGAGAUGAAAAUAUAAAGUUUAUAUAUGGAGUAAAAGGUUAAGUUCACUGUGAAAAGAGGUGUGUCAAAGUAGAUUUAUUCUUUUGCUGAUGCUUCAUAGCUUGACUGACUGGUCAUUUUUUAAUAAAAUUGAGGAAGUGUAUUAGUGGAUAAUGUUUUUUGCUUGAAUUUCUCAGUUAUGCCUCAACUGUGGCCAUGUGUAGUUAUGUUUUUUUCUCAACUCUAACAGCAUAAAUGAAUCUCAACUAGUUUUUUGGUA